rnacentral:rRNA from 1 species
ACGGCUCAGUAACACGUGGAUAACCUGCCCUUGGGUCCGGCAUAACCCCGGGAAACUGGGGAUAAUUCCGGAUAACGCACAUAUGCUGGAAUGCUUUAUGCGUAAAAUGGAUUCGUCUGCCCAAGGAUGGGUCUGCGGCCUAUCAGGUAGUAGUGGGUGUAAUGUACCUACUAGCCUACAACGGGUACGGGUUGUGAGAGCAAGAGCCCGGAGAUGGAUUCUGAGACAUGAAUCCAGGCCCUACGGGGCGCAGCAGGCGCGAAAACUUUACAAUGCGGGAAACCGUGAUAAGGGGACACCGAGUGCCAGCAUCAUAUGCUGGCCGUCCAGGUGUGUAAAAUACACCUGUUAGCAAGGGCCGGGCAAGACCGGUGCCAGCCGCCGCGGUAACACCGGCGGCCCGAGUGGUGAUCGUGAUUAUUGGGUCUAAAGGGUCCGUAGCCGGUUUGGUCAGUCCUCCGGGAAAUCUGACGGCUUAACCGUUAGGCUUUCGGGGGAUACCGCCAGGCUUGGAACCGGGAGAGGUAAGAGGUACUACAGGGGUAGGAGUGAAAUCUUGUAAUCCCUGUGGGACCACCUGUGGCGAAGGCGUCUUACCAGAACGGGUUCGACGGUGAGGGACGAAAGCUGGGGGCACGAACCGGAUUAGAUACCCGGGUAGUCCCAGCCGUAAACGAUGCUCGCUAGGUGUCAGGCAUGGCGCGACCGUGUCUGGUGCCGCAGGGAAGCCGUGAAGCGAGCCACCUGGGAAGUACGGCCGCAAGGCUGAAACUUAAAGGAAUUGGCGGGGGAGCAC